CUUCCAUCACUGGCCUCACAAUCGUGUACACCCUAGAGUUGCAUCAACGGAAGUUUCCAGCGUGUUCCAUCCAGGAUGAAGUAGUGGAUCCUGAGGUGCCCAGGAAAUCCCCCAUCAGACACCACCACAAGCGUAAGAAGGGAAUUCUCCAUCACUGGCCUCACAAUCGUGUACACCCUAGAGUUGCAUCAACGGAAGUUUCCAGCGUGUUCCAUCCAGGAUGAAGUAGUGGAUCCUGAGGUGCCCAGGAAAUCCCCCAUCAGACACCACCACAAGC